ACCUAACCACUUUUUCCGAGACAGCCAACCAAGGGUCUUGUUUCUUUUCUAUCAGUUGCACAGUGUUGGAGUUUGGAGUAAUACUUCAUGCAUCUUCUUCCAAGUUCUAGGGGCAGAGAAUUUUUUCACCAGAAACAUGAGAUACUAACUACGAUAAAUACAAUUUGCACAACUGUUUGAUUUUCAUUGUUAGUAUAUCUCUAUUCUGUUUUAAUUUUAGUUAUUGAUAGUUAAAAAAUACUGUUUUUUUUACUUGAUUAAAUGGAAACCUUUUCAAGUUGAUGGUUUCCCACCUUAUAGUCCCCAAAAAAGGUAUUGUAGAUCACUACCUACAUGUUAUUUCUUUAGGAAACAUAACACACCUUCAUGCUAGUGGGUCUCUGAAGAUUAUGUUGCUGAACUAUGUUAAUAUUGGUUAGGACAAACGACAAAGUGCUGGUCCUCCUGUCCUAGUUUCUGCAUGACAAUGUGCAGAUUUUGAUGCUUAGUUUUGCACAUUAUCAUGCUGUUGUGUAUAAUUAUUUAUGUAUUCUACCAGAGGGAAAUCAGAUGAGCAGUCCGAAAUUCACAGCCACAUUACAGAACAAUGCGUUUUCAUGCUAAAAUACUUCAGUUUUAAAAAGAUCUAGAUGUAAUUGUUCGCAGAAAUUUAGGAAGUAUGCCCUUGUGGAGCAAAUGAAAAAGAACGGGAAUAAAACACUUUGGAGUGAUGCUUUCCUAAACUAUCAAUUCGUUUUUGCAUACUUCAUUUGAUGUUUGCUUGCAGAAAUUUAAGGUCUGGCUUUCUGAUAUUCUUAUCCUCUUGUUUUUUAACUAUUAUUUAGGUGUUAUCUAGUGGACAGAAACAUGCGGCACUGUCCACGUGGAAGCCUCUUCACCCUCAAAUGUUCGUCUUUAUAGUGUUGUUGGUUUAGGCAAGCCUCGUUUGACCGAUUCUUUUUCUGUUAAGGAAAAGGGAAGUUGUUGUUGAGUUCAAUUGCUCUAGAAUUAGAAUCUUUCCUAAAACUUCGAUACCCAAGUGCAUUACCAUUAUUAUCUGUUUAUUCUCUUCUUUGUAGUACUAUGGGAACACACCAUGGAAGAGAAUAAAGGAAUGGAAUACAGUGCCACCACCACUUAAUUGUCUAGGGUGCUGUCUAGUGCUGAAAUGUCAUUUCAGCGAUAAAAUUAUCACAGCUUCAUCUCGAUUAAAACAAUAAAUAAUAGAUUUCUUCGUUUCCAUAAGUAGUGGAGCCAAUUACAGCUUUAUGCAUUACUAUGUUCUGGUCUAGUGCAAUCAUGCCUGCUUGACAUUUGUGCAGCUAGAAGUAGUGGAGUGAAGUACAGCUUGUGACAUUUUUCUGCUCCAUUCUGAUGCCAUUAUAGUUGCUUGAAACCUAGCUGUAGUGGAAUCUAGUAGCUAUUCCAACCAAUGGUAGCCAGUGUGUCUCCAUGAUAUCCGAUCUGUAUUUGAAAAAAAGUUUAGUAUUUUGGUUACUUUUUUCAUUUCCAAUAAUUCCACUUAUUGAUUCUUUACGGAAUUUUUUAUUUUAAAAGAAAAUUAUAACAAAAUGGGUCCAUGAAUUGAUAGAUACAUCUCGUCUGUUCAGACUUUUUCAUAAAUUUUUGGCAGUGCUACAGUGUGUUGGUAGCACAGUAGCACCACAGACUAGUAGCACUACAACUUUCCAUGCAUACCAAUUUGCACGCAAAAUAAAACCAAUACUUAACACCUAUCACAAGUUUUUCAUAGCCUUUUUUUUUAACAGGGGAACAUCAUAGCCUGCUCACAGAACUUCAGCUUACCAGUGCUAUAUCCAUCAAGAAGUCCUCUCUUGUUUCAUUCUGCCAAACCAAGUUCAUUCAUAUGCCCGAGACUCAUAUGCAAAAGAUUAGCAGCAUCACAAUCAGAUAAUUCAUUUGAAACAACAGGGGCGGCAUUAGCUUUUUUGUUUGGUAUGCUGACUAGGACAGUGUAUGGAUGCAUUGGAAAAGGACAGCAGCACCAGCGGCAGCAGCUUGGACAAGUUCCGAUUGAAGCUUUGUGGAGUCCAAGUUGGUGAAGAGAAUAUAGCCUAAGAGAUGGCGAUGUUUUCUGUUUGCUGUCAUAACCGUUACCCGACACCUUUGGAUCGCUUCAGCGAAAAGGAGCCGCCCACCAAUCUUGAGUCCCUCAAGUUGGAGAGUGGUAAGUAACACAUGAAUGCACACUGGUGGGAAGAUCAUUGUGGGCCAAUUGUUGAGGAGGCAAUGAGAUACUCCGAUGAUGACAGUGAGACUACAGCGGGUGGAUAUGAUGUUCCACAGAAUCUCCAUGGGUCUGUGUGUCACCUGCUGAUUGAGUACGAGUCAGCACCCCAGCACACAAGAUGUCACUACCGCCUGGGUUGACAACAGCCUGUGGAUUGUGUUUUGUUCAUGGAUGAGGUGGUCAAUAGCCAAAAGUCAUGAAAAUGUAAUUUUUUGCCGCACUUGACAGCAAACCAAUGGUUAAUUGCAAUGCUAAAGUAUACUCUUCUAAGUAAUCUUCAUAUGUCAACCUGCAAUUGCCGACACAGAGAGGCUCUUCACCCAGGUUCAGAACAUAUAUAUGUCCAUCUUUCUUCAGAUAAUCAGUCAGCUGGUGUGCAGUGGUUAAUGAACUGAACUUGUCGAAGCUAAUUUUCUGAACCAGUUCAUGGCACCAUGUAUGUUGUGCUCCAGUAUAAAUGCAUAUCCUCCCCGGUUUCAGUGGCAGUUCUGGCUGAGUUUUAUGAGGCAGAUUAUUUUGACUGUUCCGUCUGUGAUAAAGAAACUUUGUGUUCUUGAACGUACUUGAGCCAUGAAAACAAUGCGAAGUUUCCUC